GCCGGGGUGGUGGAAUUGGCAGACACACAGGACUUAAAAUCCUGCGGUAGGUGACUACCGUGGGGGUUCAAGUCCCUUCAUCCGUACCA
rnacentral:tRNA from 1 species